rnacentral:rRNA from 1 species
AGCGAACGCUGGCGGCAGGCUUAACACAUGCAAGUCGAACGCCCCGCAAGGGGAGUGGCAGACGGGUGAGUAACGCGUGGGAACGUGCCCUUCGCUUCGGAAUAGCCCCGGGAAACUGGGAGUAAUACCGAAUACGCCGUAUUGGGAAAGAUUUAUCGGCGAAGGAUCGGCCCGCGUUAGAUUAGCUAGUUGGCGGUGUAAUGGACCACCAAGGCUACGAUCUAUAGCUGGUCUGAGAGGAUGAUCAGCCACACUGGGACUGAGACACGGCCCAGACUCCUACGGGAGGCAGCAGUGGGGAAUCUUGGACAAUGGGCGCAAGCCUGAUCCAGCCAUGCCGCGUGAGUGAAGAAGGCCUUAGGGUUGUAAAAUUCUUUCGCCGGAGAAGAUAAUGACGGUAUCCGGAGAAGAAGCCCCGGCUAACUUCGUGCCAGCAGCCGCCGUAACAC